rnacentral:tRNA from 1 species
GCCUGUCUGGCUUAGUCAGUGGAGCAUGUGACUCUUGAUCUUGAGUUUGUGGGUUCGAACCCCACACUGGGUA